rnacentral:rRNA from 1 species
AGAGAAUAGAUACCCAGGUAGUCCACGCCGUAAACGAUGAAUGCCAGCCGUUAGUGGGUUUACUCACUAGUGGCGCAGCUAACGCUUUAAGCAUUCCGCCUGGGGAGUACGGUCGCAAGAUUAAAACUCAAAGGAAUUGACGGGGGCCCGGCACAAGCGGUGGAGCAUGUGGUUUAAUUUACGACGCAACGCGCAGAACCUUACCAGCCCUUGACAUGUCCGGGACCGGUCGCAGAGAUGUGACCCUCUCUUCGGAGUCCGGAACACAGGUGCUGCAUGGCUGUCGUCGGCUCGUGUCGUGAGAUGUUGGGUUAAGUCCCGCAACGAGCGCAACCCCCGUCCUUACGUUGUCUACCACUUAAGUUAGUAGCACUCUAAGGUAGACUGCCGGUGAUAAGCCGCGAGGAAGGU